rnacentral:rRNA from 1 species
GACGAACCGUGCGAACGUUGUUCGGAAUCACUAGGCUUAAAGGGCGCGUAGGCGGGUGACCAAGUCCUGGGUGAAAUCUUUCGGCUUAACCGGAAAAGUGCCUGAGAUACUGGUCAUCUGGAGGGAGGUAGGGGCAGCUGGAACUUCCGGUGGAGCGGUGAAAUGCGUUGAUAUCGGAAGGAACGCCGGUGGCGAAAGCGAGCUGCUGGACCUCUUCUGACGCUGAGGCGCGAAAGCCAGGGGAGCAAACGGG